GCGCCCGUCUCUGGGGAGUAGCCCGCCCGGCCGCACACGGCGCCGGGGGCUUGCGUCAACACACUUGGGUUCCCACAACCUAUGGCGCACGCGGCUUGUGAUGAGCUGGGCGAGACCAUUGACUGCAUGCCGAUCCAUUGGCCGGAGUCGGCGUGCGGUCAAUGCGUUCACCACCCAUCCGGCC
rfam:Acidovorax delafieldii 2AN ctg00842, whole genome shotgun sequence.